GCUAAACGCGAAGAACCUUACCAGGUCUUGACAUCCCUCUGACCGUCCUAGAGAUAGGGCUUUCCUUCGGGACAGAGGAGACAGGUGGUGCAUGGUUGUCGUCAGCUCGUGUCGUGAGAUGUUGGGUUAAGUCCCGCAACGAGCGCAACCCCUAACUUAAGUUGCCAGCACGUUAAGGUGGGCACUCUAGGUUGACUGCCGGUGACAAACCGGAGGAAGGCGGGGAGUGACGUCAAAUCAUCAUGCCCCUUACUGACCUGGGCUACACACGUACUACAAUGGCCGGUACAACGGGCUGCGAAACCGCGAGGUGGAGCCAAUCCCAACAAAGCCGGUCUCAGUUCGGAUUGCAGGCUGCAACUCGCCUGCAUGAAGUCGGAAUUGCUAGUAAUCGCGGAUCAGCAUGCCGCGGUGAAUACG
rnacentral:rRNA from 1 species